AAAGCCCCACGAAACCAAUGCGUGCUGACCUUAUCGAAAUUAAAGUCAAAGUGAUCUUGGGUGGUAAUUUUCAGAAUCCAUGGGUCUUGCGCGUUGAUUUUUAGUCGACGGCUCCUCGGUAUUAGACAGUUUUGGAGUUGCUGUGCUAGAUAGGAGCAAGGAAUUGCUGUGCCUCAUCUCGAAUGGCUGGCGUGCUAGAGCCAAACAAGGAGAUGGUGCUUUGCGAUCUCGAUUUUAUUUUGAAGCUCUGAUUAUUAUUUAUGCAUUAUUCUCUCUGGACAGGCUUCAAUUCCACUUAAGCCCUGCCGUGAUCUUCUAAAUCUCCCCGGACCAGAAGAUGAGAAAGGCAGGAAAAACACACCUACCCUGAUGAGAUAAUUUCACCCACCACUGUUCAGACUGUUCAUGGCGCUACAGGUCAGUCACAGAGGGCAAGCAAGACUGCUGCCUUAUUUUAAUUAUUUGUUCCUGUUGUAAGCCUGUCUCCUUCUUAACCUUUAUGCUUUCUCUACACAUGCUAUGCUUUCUAUGUAUUGUGGCUUUGUUCUACUUGUUGCUUUAAAUUGUGUUUUUACCCUAUUUUGAUAAGUAGUCUGUUGAUAUAUUGACAUGAAAGUUUAUGUUGUUGUUGCUCAAAUAUGAUUUUAGUUGCUA